UACGUAGGAUCCGAGCGUUGUCCGGAUUUACUGGGUGUAAAGGGUGCGCAGGCGGACUGGUAAGUCAGAGGUGAAAUCUCGUCGCUCAACGACGAAACUGCCUUUGAUACUAUCAGUCUUGAAUCCGGUAGAGAUCUGUGGAAUUCCGAGUGUAGCAGUGAAAUGCGUAGAUAUCGAGAGGAACACCUGCGGCGAAGGCGGGUUGCUGGGCUGACACUGACGCUGAUGCGCGAAAGCCAGGGGAGCAAACGGG
rnacentral:rRNA from 1 species